rnacentral:rRNA from 1 species
GACGAACGCUGGCGGCGUGCUUAACACAUGCAAGUCGAACGGAAAGGCCCUGCUUUUGUGGGGUGCUCGAGUGGCGAACGGGUGAGUAACACGUGAGUAACCUGCCCUUGACUUUGGGAUAACUUCAGGAAACUGGGGCUAAUACCGGAUAGGAGCUCCUGCUGCAUGGUGGGGGUUGGAAAGUUUCGGCGGUUGGGGAUGGACUCGCGGCUUAUCAGCUUGUUGGUGGGGUAGUGGCUUACCAAGGCUUUGACGGGUAGCCGGCCUGAGAGGGUGACCGGCCACAUUGGGACUGAGAUACGGCCCAGACUCCUACGGGAGGCAGCAGUGGGGAAUAUUGCACAAUGGGCGGAAGCCUGAUGCAGCAACGCCGCGUGCGGGAUGACGGCCUUCGGGUUGUAAACCGCUUUCGCCUGUGACGAAGCGUGAGUGACGGUAAUGGGUAAAGAAGCACCGGCUAACUACGUGCCAGCAGCCGCGGUGAUACGUAGGGUGCGAGCGUUGUCCGGAUUUAUUGGGCGUAAAGGGCUCGUAGGUGGUUGAUCGCGUCGGAAGUGUAAUCUUGGGGCUUAACCCUGAGCGUGCUUUCGAUACGGGUUGACUUGAGGAAGGUAGGGGAGAAUGGAAUUCCUGGUGGAGCGGUGGAUGCGCAGAUAUCAGGAGGAACACCAGUGGCGAAGGCGGUUCUCUGGGCCUUUCCUGACGCUGAGGAGCGAAAGCGUGGGGAGCGAACAGGCUUAGAUACCCUGGUAGUCCACGCUGUAAACGGUGGGUACUAGGUGUGGGGUCCAUUCCACGGGUUCCGUGCCGUAGCUAACGCUUUAAGUACCCCGCCUGGGGAGUACGGCCGCAAGGCUAAAACUCAAAGGAAUUGACGGGGCCCCGCACAAGCGGCGGAGCAUGCGGAUUAAUUCGAUGCAACGCGUAGAACCUUACCUGGGUUUGACAUGGAUCGGGAGCGCUCAGAGAUGGGUGUGCCUCUUUUGGGGUCGGUUCACAGGUGGUGCAUGGCUGUCGUCAGCUCGUGUCGUGAGAUGUUGGGUUAAGUCCCGCAACGAGCGCAACCCUUGUUCACUGUUGCCAGCACGUUAUGGUGGGGACUCAGUGGAGACCGCCGGGGUCAACUCGGAGGAAGGUGGGGAUGACGUCAAGUCAUCAUGCCCCUUAUGUCCAGGGCUUCACGCAUGCUACAAUGGCUGGUACAGAGAGUGGCGAGCCUGUGAGGGUGAGCGAAUCUCGGAAAGCCGGUCUCAGUUCGGAUUGGGGUCUGCAACUCGACCUCAUGAAGUCGGAGUCGCUAGUAAUCGCAGAUCAGCAACGCUGCGGUGAAUACGUUCCCGGGGCUUGUACACACCGCCCGUCAAGUCAUGAAAGUUGGUAACACCCGAAGCCGGUGGCCUAACCGUUGUGGGGGAGCCGUCGAAGGUGGGACUGGUGAUUAGGACU